CGGCAGAAUACCGGCGCUCAGGUUUUGUUUUAAAACCUGCAGCAUUUAUGCUGAGCCGGGGCCUUUUCAUCUUGUGCCAUGUGGGUGCAAGAAUUAGUUAUUAUUAAAUAUUAAGUACUAGAUGAUGCCCG